UCAAAAUUGUGUGGGGGUUAGUUGAGUUUCCAGAUAUUGAAUACAAAACAUCACAAACUUGUCUAAUAUUCUCUUACCUAUCUAUCACUCCACCACCUUACAUAUACAUUCUUCAUGGUUUCAACAAACCUUAGUCUUUCUUGCUUUCCUUCAUUUCACUCUCCUCCAUUGCUGCAUUCAGCAAUUCUUCUUACUCUACUUUCAUUUUCUUCUGAAAAAUUACCUGCAUUGUGACAAUUUUCUUUUCUUUUUUUAGUAUUUCGCUACUGGGUCUGGAACUGAGUUUUUUAGUACUGGGGGACUUCUUGAAUGGGUUGGGAAGAAACUAACUGAGCUUGUAACUUUAUUUCAAAUUCAAGGUACCUUGUUCUAACUUGCAUUUGCAACAUAAAGAAAGUGAGAAGUAACUUUUUGUUUUGAAAAAAUAAAAAUAAAAAAUCACAAAUGGUGUCCAAAAUUUGGCCCCUGUUUUUGCCCCUGCUUUCAUGAUGCUUUAUUUAUUUUCAGCAAUUAAUUCAAUCUGCAAUAGUAGAGCAAGAAUGCAGGACAGAAACAGAUUCAUGAAAUUGUCUUCCACAAUUGACAGACACAGUUCACUCAGACUUCAAAUGUUCAGCACCCAAUAUGCCAUCUUGUUCAAGUCCAAUCAAGAUGACCACAGUGAAUCGUACCUUGCACUUUUUUUUGUGAUUCGUAUGGUUUUAUACGUCUCAAUUUUAGCUGUUCUCGUGAUUGUGGUCGCUCUGAUCAUCAAAUACCUGGGGGACUAUGGAAAUGACUUCAUUAUAGAAAACACGACCACAUCUGAGACUAAUCAUUUGUUACCAAAGGAGGCCCCAAUUUCAUUCUCGUACGGAACAUGCGAAAAAGAAGAUGUAGAAAAAGAUGGAAAAAGAAAGUCCAAUGGCAAUUCCUCGGAUGAAUUGUAUGAUGGGAAAAUAUGCAUAAUUUGCUAUGAAGAGCCACGGAAUUGCUUCUUUGUUCCUUGUGGUCACUGUGCUACCUGCCAUGUUUGUGCCCACAGGUUUGGAGCUUUCUAGAAUCUAUGCACCAGAACCAUGGGCGUGACGGAGUCUAAACAAAGGACCCGAUCCUGAGGAUGGAUUAUGGAUGAGGAAAGCAGGACAUGCCCAGUAUGUCGAAUAUUGAUUCGCAGAGUAAAAAGACUUUUUAACAUCCCACAAAAUCAAACUGACGAGUAAGAAAUUUCAUUUGCCGAGAAAAUUUGCAUCUUUGGAGCAAGGAUGGAAAAUUAUUCUAUUGCUUGGUUUGGACCUAGUGUUGGAAUUACAAGUAGCCAAACAGAAGGAUGAUAUCACAUUACAUGAGCAAUGUAAGAGAGUUUUCUUCUUUCUUUUCAA